CCCGGCUUAGCUCAGUCUGGCAGAGCGCGGGCCUGUAGUCUGGCGACCGGGCAGAGAGCCCGGGGUCCCCGGUUCAAAUCCGGGAGCCGGGA
rnacentral:tRNA from 1 species